rnacentral:rRNA from 1 species
GUGUCAGCCGCCGCGGUAAUACGUAGGGGGCGAGCGUUGUCCGGAAUUAUUGGGCGUAAAGCGCGCGCAGGCGGCCGAUUAAGUCAGGUGUGAAAGGCUGCGGCUCAACCGCAGAGUUGCAUCUGAAACUGGUCGGCUUGAGUGCAGGAGAGGGGAGCGGAAUUCCCGGUGUAGCGGUGGAAUGCGUAGAGAUCGGGAGGAACACCAGUGGCGAAGGCGGCUCUCUGGCCUGUAACUGACGCUGAGGCGCGAAAGCGUGGGGAGCGAACAGGAUUAGAUACCCUGGUAGUCCACGCCGUAAACGAUGAGUGCUAGGUGUUGGGGGCAUCAGGCCCUCUGUGCCGAAGGAAACCCAAUAAGCACUCCGCCUGGGGAGUACGGCCGCAAGGCUGAAACUCAAAUGAAUUGACGGGG